GGCAAAGGCAUCCUUCUUUAACCAGGCCUCAAACUGUCUGCAAUCACGGGUUUGGAUUUUAGCAGACUUUCCUGAUCUUGUUAAGUAUGAGAACAUGAAAACUCUACUUUUGUUGCUAGCCAUGCAGGGAGCAGUAAUGUUGGCCGGUAGCAGGUGGCCAGUGAAAUUUUGAAGCAAAAUAAACAGUCAAUCAUCCUUUGCAGGGGGGAGCAAAAGCUGAAACGUACACGGCCGUGACCUCUCCCCACUACACUGCAGGGCCCGCAGGACUGAGCCCGCGGGGUCAAGAUGGCACAUUCUGGCUCCUGGGUGACCCCCGCCCAAGGGUUCCUGCUGCUUUGGGCUGCGCUGCAUUUUAGUCCCUGGAGCCCCUGGACACUGGCAGAUGAAGAAGACGGGCCCCCACUUCGUGGCCGGCUGCAGCAAAGAGUGCCGAACGAAGGGCAAGGCCUGCACCAAGGCCUCCAGGGCUCCUUGCUACCAGGAGUGCUGCCCAGCAACGCCCAAACUCAGCUGCCUGAAGCUGGACGGCCGCGUGCACUUCAACCGGGCCGGACGGGCCGAUCUGGCCCCGCUCCUCCAGCUCUUAGCUUCCGCAGCAGUCCUGGGACUGAGCUACGUCCUCCUGCCCCCUGCCUCCGGGCCCCAGUGAAGCGGAGCCGAGCCGGGCUCUGCAGCAGGCUUCGGCCCAUAGGCAAAGGAUCCCCCACCCCCCGCUUUCUUCGGCUUGGCUCUUGCUGGGCUGCCCCGGGAGCAGGCAGGAGGGAUGUGCAGAACCCAGGCGGCGCCUUCCGCGCCCCGCUUGCUCCUCGCUGCCAACGGGGCAGGGAUAAGGGAACCCGGCCCCGGCGGCCCCGCGGCUGAUGCGACUUUCCCAGGGAGACGGCCACCCACAGGGCAGACCGCAGCGCCCCCGACGGCAACGCGACCCUCCCAACGGCCUGGCCGGAGGAAGGGCUGAAGGGCACCUGUUGAGGGGCGCACCAGAGGAGGUUCCUCUGCCGCUGAGAGGGACGAAGGAGGCUCCGGAGCCUUGCGGCUGGGCAGGCACGGAGGCCCGCGGAGGCAGCUUGGCUCCUUCGCCCGGGUCGAAGCAACUGGUACCCGAAGGUUCCCUUUUGCCCGGCCCUGCCCUGCGUAACUGUUCCGCCCCCGCCGGUGGGAGCAGCGGAGCGGAGCGGCCGGCUUCUCUUCCGCCACGGCUCGCCUCUCUGGGGCUCCCAGCUCUGGCGCUGCUGUUCUGCCUGCAUCCGCCUUGCAAAUAAAC
rnacentral:lncRNA from 1 species